AUUGGAUUUAUUUUAAUGCCUUGGGUUCUCGGGCUGGUCAUGUUUUUAUACUUUGUUGCGAUCGUUUCCAAUCUCUCCGUGUUGGGUCGAUCAAUUCUUUACCCCACUGCUAUAACAUCUGCCCUGUCUCGGAAGGAGAUGCCUGCAUGGAACUUUUUGUGAGGUUGAACCACUGCUAGAUGAAGAUUCAUGGGGAGAAAUAUCACUACUGAAGUGAUUUUGCAUUAUGAGAGGGUGAUAAGCACCAUUAAGAUUUGUGAAGUCUACAGAACUUCUUAUGUUGGUCAUGCUGCCCUGCCUCUAAGCUAGACUUUGUCAGUCUUCGGCUAUCGAUGCAGAAACUAUGCUUGUAUGUUCUUGGAUAGCAACUACUGAAAGUUUUUGAAGUGUGUUCGACAUUGAGAAUAACUUGUGUAUUGCUAAAAUCGAUCCUGAUGGUGUUGACUUAGUCGAGAAUAUCUACUUUUAUGAUUCUCAUUU